rnacentral:rRNA from 1 species
CUAGCAUUAUUAGUAUUAGAGGCCAUGCCUGCCCAGUGACACCUGUUUAAACGGCCGCGGUAUCCUGACCGUGCAAAGGUAGCAUAAUCACUUGUUCCUUAAAUAGGGACUUGUAUGAACGGCUCGACGAGGGUUGCACUGUCUCUUACUUUCAAUCAGUGAAAUUGACCUCCCCGUGAAGAGGCGGGGCUAUACAAAUAAGACGAGAAGACCCUAUGGAGCUUAAAAUAAUUAGUCCACACAUUUACUACAACCACCCUUCGGGCCCAAACAACAUGUCCCUGGACUAAUAUUUUCGGUUGGGGUGACCUCGGAGCAUAAACCAACCUCCGAAUGAUUUUAAUCUAGACCCACCCGUCUAAAUUUUAACUCAUAUAUUGACCCAAUACAUUUGAUCAACGGAAUAAGUUACCCUAGGGAUAACAGCGCAAUCCUACUUAAGAGUUCAUAUCGACAGUUAGGGUUUACGACCUCGAUGUUGGAUCAGGACACCCAAAUGGUGCAGCAGCUAUUAAUGGUUCGUUUGUUCAACGAUUAAAGUC